GGUUCCAUGGUGUAAUGGUUAGUACUGUGGACUCUGAAUCCAGUGAUCUGAGUUCAUAUCUCAGUGAAACCU
rnacentral:tRNA from 1 species